GCCCCACGUGGGACAAACUGAUUACUCUGUAUCUACCCCAGCGCUUAGAACAGUGCUCUGCACACAGUUAUUAUUAUUAUAAUUAUUAGGGAGACCCGAUCGCCUGGUUCCGGGCGGGAGAAGACCCGGCGCUCAGCGGGCCCCAUCGAGAUCCCUUGCAGAGCGGGAGGCUGAUAUUGUCCAGGCUGGCCGCUGGGCGGCAGUGUUGCGCAGCCUUGUCCCCCUGCAAAGCCCUUUGCGUUCCCGAUGAAGAUCCACCUUGCCCCUAAACCUCUCUCAUUUACUCAUUCAUUCAGUCGUAUUUCUGGAGCGCUUACUAUGUGCAGAGCACUGUACUAAGCGCUUGGGGUAAUAAUAAUAAUAAUGUUGGUAUUUGCUAAGCGCUUACUAUGUGCCGAGCACUGUUCUAAGCGCUGGGGUAGAUAAAGGGUCAUCAGGUUGUCCCACGUGGGGCUCACAGUCUUCAUCCCCCUUUUACAGAUGAGGGAACUGAGGCACCGAGAAGUCAAGUGACUUGCCAAAGUCACACAGCUGACAGGUGGCGGAGUCGAGAUUAGAACCCACAACCUCUGACUCCUAAACCGGUGCUCUUUCCACUGAACCACGUUGCUUCGUACAAUUCGGCCACAGAUAGAGACAAUCCCUGCCCAAUGACGGGCUCUCUCGUCUUGCCUCAGCCCGAGGCUCCCCCUUCUCCGACAAUCCGGGGAGCUCGGAGUGGCCCAGCUAAGACCGGACUCCCAAGCCACGGUUAUGUGUGAGAGGCGUUGAGGGCUUGUCCGUCUAGGGACAAAUCUCUCCGUCUCAGCUCUGCCAACGAUCGCCUCUCCUCCUCGACUCCCUCCUCCGCUCCAAGAAGGGACCCCUAAAACUGGCUCUCCAGUUCUCGCGGGUUCCCCAGCAGAUCCCAGGACUCCUAGGCAGACAUCGGAUCCCUCUGACCCCUCGGCCAGGCUCCCUCUCCGGUUUUCUCCACCGAUCUUUUGGCCUGCCCCUCCCCCACAUCUGUUUUGACGCGGAGACUCGUGAAGCCCUCCUCCCCUACCCCUUCGCCCCGCGGAACCACAGAACCCAGCUCCCCCACCCCAGAGCCGGCUCCAUUUCCCUUGGAGCGACAGAUGAAGGGCGGAGCCACAGGUGGAAGAGCACUUCGGGGCCUCGGGAUGGGAGCCCCGGGGACCGGGAAGACAGAACAGGUGACCGGGAGCCGGAGGCGCCCCGAGGAGACGUGGCAGCUGGGGCGACGGCAAGGAAUGUGGACAGUCCCGGGGAAUGUCUAAUCUGCAAUGGCUCAUCGCAGAGCGGAAGCUGAGAGCUGGAAUGUCAACGACCCGAUGGGAAUGAUCUCACUUCCAGGACCCCCCUCCAAGUGGCUGAUGCCAUCUCAGCCCACGAGAUCGUCAGCGGGUGAGGUAAUAAGCUAAAGAUAGCAAGUCCGGUUCUGAGCGGAAAGUGCUGAGG
rnacentral:lncRNA from 1 species